UACGUAGGGUGCAAGCGUUGUCCGGAAUUAUUGGGCGUAAAGAGCUCGUAGGCGGUACUUCAAGUCAGGCGUGAAAGCCCCGGGCUCAACCUGGGAACCGCGCUUGAGACUGGAGAACUAGAGUUCGGGAGAGGAUGGUGGAAUUCCCAGUGUAGAGGUGAAAUUCGUAGAUAUUGGGAAGAACACCGAUGGCGAAGGCAGCCAUCUGGACCGACACUGACGCUGAGGCGCGAAAGCGUGGGGAGCAAACAGG
rnacentral:rRNA from 1 species